rnacentral:lncRNA from 1 species
CAGGUUUCACAGUGUCAGGUAGACAGGUUUCACAGUGUCAGGUAGACAGGUUUCACAGUGUCAGGUAGACAGGUUUCACAGCGUCAGGUAGAUAGGUUUCACAGUGUCAGGUAGACAGGUUUCACAGCGUCUCGUGGAUAGGUUUCACAGUGUCAGGUAGACAGGUUUCACAGCGUCAGGUAGACGGGUUUCACAGUGUCAGGUAGACAGGUUUCACAGUGUCAGGUAGACAGGUUUCACAGCGUCAGGUAGAUAGGUUUCACAGUGUCAGGUAGACAGGUUUCACAGCGUCUCGUGGAUAGGUUUCACAGUGUCAGGUAGACGGGUUUCACAGCGUCAGGUAGACGGGUUUCACAGCGUCUCGUGGAUAGGUUUCACAGUGUCAGGUAGACAGGUUUCACAGCGUCAGGUAGACAGGUUUCACAGUGUCAGGUAGACAGGUUUCACAGCGUCAGGUAGACAGGUUUCACAGCGUCACGUGGAUAGGUUUCACAGCGCGUAUUGUGGUGGAGGUUUAUCUCUGCUCCUUACUGGAGAAAGCUCAGUGUCUUCUCCCAUAGUCCUAAGCCAAAUCAUUCUGUACAGAGAUAUGGUCCAUGAGACAGGGUCCAUUGCCAUUGAAACAUUUCGAUGAUAUCUAAAGCAAUAUACAAAUUGAGAACCCCAGAGUUAUCUUAGUGCAUAUCAUGCAAUCUAUGCCUUACAAUCUCACAGAGCUGGGCAACCAUGUAUACAUUCUUGUUGAGUAGCAAAAAAAUCUGACCUUAUGUUGUUACUGGUGGAUAGAGGAGAAAACCUCAACGUUUGAAAAAUGAUCUACUGAUCUGUAAUUCAUUUAGGUUUGAUUAGCACGAGGUCCUUUGUUCAGGUCAAACGGUUCAGUCUGUUACAGAGGUGUUACAUGAUAGAUUUAUCGACCUCUGGCCAGUCUCAGAAAUGCUGUUUGAGGUCGGAGACAUAAGGUAUUAUUUUAUUCAUUGUUUUCAUACAGUAGACUUAAGGUACAUGACAGGUUAUGUAAUCUCCAGAUAACUUUCAGAUUGCUGUCCAGUGUCCACCACUCCCUGAGUCAAUAGUCUCCCCUGUCCACUCUACACUCUGAAGAAUUCUCCAUUGGUGCCAGCUCCAGCAGUCAAUAGUCUCCCCUGUCCACUCUACACUCUGGAAAAUCCUCCAUUGAUCCACUAACAAGCAACGAGAGGAACUGAAGACGGAGGAGACUGAUUGAUUAAAUAAAAUACAAUACAAUUGUAUUCGUCACAUGCUUUCUACAGGUGUAGACUAACAGUGAAAUGCUUAAUCGCGGGCCUUUCCCAACAAUGCAGAGAGAAAGAAAAUAGAGAAAUAAUAGAAAAGUAAAACAAGUAAUAAUAAAAGUAAUAAUUGAUACACAAUGAGUAAAGAUAACUUGGCUAUAUACAACGGGAUCCAGUACUGAGUCGAUUUGCAGGGGUACGAGGUCAUUGAGGUAGAUAUGUACAUAUUAGGAAUAAAGUGAAAGAUAAAGAAGAGCAGCAGUGUAUGUGAUAAGUCAAAGAAAAUGCAAAAAGGGUCAAUGCAGAUAUUCCAGGUAGCUAUUUGGUUAACUAUUUAGCUAAUUAUUUAGCAGUCUUAUGGCUUGGGGUAGAAGCUGUUCAGUGCCCUGUUGGUUCCAGACUGCAUCGGUAAUGCUUGCGGUGCAUUACCAGAGAGAUCAGUCUAUGACUUGGGAGUCUGGAGUCUUUGACAGGGACUUCCUCUGACACCGCCUGGUAUAGAGAGGUCCUGGAUGACAGGGAGCUCGGCCCCAGUGGCGUACUGGGCUGUACACACUACCCUCUGUAGCGCCUUGUGGUCGGAAGCCAAGCAUGUGUCAUACCAAGUGGUGAUGCAGCCAGUCAAGAUGCUCUCAAUGGUGCAGCUGUAGAACUUUUUGAAGAUCUGAGGGCCAAUGCCAAAUCUUUUAGGCCUUCUGAGGGGGUAAGAGGCACUAUCGUCCCCUCCUUACGACUGUGUUGGUGUGUUUGGACCAUGAUAAGUCCUUAGUGAUGUGGACACAGAGGAACUUGAAGCUCUCGAUCCGCUCCACUAAAGCCCUGUCGAUGUCAACGGGGGCGUGCUUGGUCCUCACGUUUCCUGUAGUCCACAAUCAGCUCAUUUGUCUUUCUGAAGUUGAAGGAGAGGUUGUUGUUCUGGCACCAUACUGCCAGGUCUCUGGCCUCCUCCCUAUAGGCUGUCUCAUUGUCGUUGGUGAUCAGGUCUACCACUGUUGUGUUGUCGGAAAACUUAAUGAUGGUGUUACAGUGGUGCACGGCUACGCAGUGGUGGGUGAACAGGGAGUACAGGAGGGGAGAGGUGGGGAGAUUAAGCACGCACCCCUAAGGUGCCCUGGUGUUGAGGUUACCUAGGCGUUCUUGGGCACAGGGACUAUGGUGGUCUGCUUGGAACAUGUAGGUAUUACAGACUGAGUCAGUGAGAGGUUGAAAAUAUCAGCAAAGACACUUGCCAGCUG